AGAAUGUUUUACUUCAUUGUUCUUACUGGUUGCUAUAGAUGCAGAUUCUCUGAUAUACAGAAAACUAUUGUUCAGUUGUUUUUGCUGCUUAAAAGUGCAAAAUUUUUUCUUUGUAACUCAUGCUUUUAAUAGCCAAGAUCACUGUACCUUGACAUGCUCCAAGGUAACUAACCUUUUCUUCUUUCAUUCCAAUGCUAACAUCUACUCUGUGCAUCUCCUAAUAUCUGGCACGCAGGAUGAUGAGGAGGGUAUAUGGGCAUAGCCAUUCCUAUAAACGAAAGUUCCAGUUUUAUUCUGAGGGAUGAUCCAGUCACUGUUGGAGGCACAUAGCCAUGGCAAAUCUCACGCUGUACAUUGAUCACCUGUCCAACCUUUGCCUAGAGUGUGAUCCCCAGUUCCUUCAAGAGUUCCAUCUUUACCUGUCCAUAGAGAGGAGGAGGAGAGAGACAUCUGGGAUAACCACACUUCAAAGAUUAACACCAGAGCAGUUGUCAGAGGAGCUGGAGAAAGAGGAGGAAAAAAUGCAGCACUGCAGAAUUAAGCUGAUAAUCUAUUGCAGUCGAUCUCCAAACAUAACCAUGACAUCCUGGAGCAGAUCAUAGAAACAGAAGAUGAAUGCUGAGGUUGUUACCAGAUGAAAUGCUGCAUGAAUUGGUGUCUACUCCAUUAUUUCUUGUAGUCAUUAUGAAGUCAGAUGCUCUGGAAAAUACUGAAGGGGACUCAAUCAGAAAUUACAAAAACUUCAUUUCCGCCUUUAAUGGGUCUUGUGUUCAGAAUAUUAUUAUUUAAUGAAGUUCAGUUAAAUGAAUUCUUUUAACCAAUUUUGAUAAAUUGGUAUUGAUUUUUAAUGUAUAUUUCAGGUUGUGUUAGGUGCAGUAUCUUCAUCUGCUGAUUCUGCCUAGCGUAUUCUACAGUAACACUUCUAAAGUGGACUAGAUUGUCAAAAAGGUAUUAGUACACUAUUAUAUAAUGGAGUCUGCAUUAAUCUUACCCCCAGUUAGAAGUGGGCUUUUCAGAAAAGUAAAAACUAAGCCUUUACCCUCCUCUGUUUUCUUAUAUCUACUGUUACUCAAAUAAUCACAUUUUGAUAACGUAACGAGUAUUAAGCUCUGGGCCAGGUUGGAAAUGAAAUCAAUUUUUGGUACUACUUGCUGUUGGCAAGGAUUAGCCUUAUGAAAAUAUGGUGUGUGUCUCUGACAAUGCAUGGGACAUCUAAAUUGAUCAUCAAUAAUUUACAUACCAAAUAUAUAUAUUAGCGGAUGGUAAAAGCUUGAGGUAUGUAUAUGUACAUAUGUGUAUACAUGCACACGUAUACAGGAGUGGAUCAACCUUUUAACAUCCGAAUGCAUACAGGUAUGUAUUAAUAAAAGCUGGGACUCAUAAAUAUAUCA
rnacentral:lncRNA from 1 species